rnacentral:rRNA from 1 species
UACGUAGGGAGCAAGCGUUGCCCGGAAUCAUUGGGCGUAAAGCGCGCGUAGGUGGCCUCAUAAGUCCGCUGUGAAAGUCAAAGGCUCAACCUUUGAAAGCCGGUGGAUACUGUGAGGCUAGAGUACGGAAGAGGCGAGUGGAAUUCCGGGUGUAGUGGUGAAAUGCGUAGAGAUCCGGGAGGAACACCAGUGGCGAAGGCGACACGCUGGGCCGUACCUGACGCUAAAGCGCGACAGCAUGGGGAGCAAACGGG